AAGCCUAUUAUGACGUCCUUGUGUAACUAAAUAAAAGACGACGGCGGCGGUGGCGACGGUGGUGGCCACAACGGCGACGGCAAUGAGAUGAGGUGCUGCUGGUUGUACCAUUGAACUCUAUAACGUGGCGAAAGAUGAAGCGGCUCCCUUGUAUCUUCUUCCAAUCGACAUCGAUCACGGCAAGCUCAUUUUGAUCGAUUGCUCGUGAGAUGGGUUACGCCAGCCGGCGGCGCUUCUGCUCCACGCAUAUGGAUGUACUCACGUUUUCUCUGGCAGCGGCCAGACCUCCCUGAUUCAAUGGACUCCGACGACACGAUCUACAUGAUGACUAUCUAAAUUGACGCGACAUGAUUUACCCAUCAUAUGUAAUAAGCACGCACAAAGCGUGAUAUGCUCACACAACUUUAGUCUUGUUAUUUGCGUGGACAAAUAUCAUUGUAAAGAAACCAUUUAUUCCCUGA